rnacentral:rRNA from 1 species
GACGAUCGCUGGCGGCGUGCUUAACACAUGCAAGUCGAACGGAAAGGCCCUGCUUUUGUGGGGUGCUCGAGUGGCGAACGGGUGAGUAACACGUGAGUAACCUGCCCUUGACUUUGGGAUAACUUCAGGAAACCGGGGCUAAUACCGGAUAGGGGCUCCUGCUGCAUGGUGGGGGUUGGAAAGUUUCGGCAGUUGGGGAUGGACUCGCGGCUUAUCAGCUUGUUGGUGGGGUAGUGGCUUACCAAGGCUUUGACGGGUAGCCGGCCUGAGAGGGUGACCGGCCACAUUGGGACUGAGGUACGGCCCAGACUCCUACGGGAGGCAGCAGUGGGGAAUAUUGCACAAUGGGCGGAAGCCUGAUGCAGCAACGCCGCGUGCGGGAUGACGGCCUUCGGGUUGUAAACCGCUUUCGCCUGUGACGAAGCGUGAGUGACGGUAAUGGGUAAAGAAGCACCGGCUAACUACGUG